rnacentral:rRNA from 1 species
UUAAUCGAGCCAUUAAUUAAUCCCAACAUCACCUAAGAACCCUUAAAUAGUAUUGAGUAAUUCUAUACUACUAUAGAAAAUUUUAUGUUAAAACUAGUAACAAGAAGAAGAACUUCUCCACUAAUGCAAGUGUAAAUCAGACAGGACACCCCGCUGAUAAUUAACACCAAUGAACAAAAAGUAGCAACCUAACAAGAAAACCCUACUAAACUAGAUGUUAACCUAACACCAGAGCAUUACAAAAAAGAUUAAAAGAAAGAGAAGGAACUCGGCAAAUAUUAACCUCGCCUGUUUACCAAAAACAUCGCCUCUUGAAUAAAUAUAAGAGGUCCAGCCUGCCCAGUGACUCUGUUCAACGGCCGCGGUAUCCUAACCGUGCGAAGGUAGCGUAAUCACUUGUUCUUUAAAUGAGGACUAGUAUGAAUGGCAUCACGAAGGUUAUACUGUCUCCUCUUUCUAAUCAGUGAAACUAAUCUCCCCGUGAAGAAGCGGGAAUAAACAUAUAAGACGAGAAGACCCUAUGGAGCUUUAAACUAUGUAACACUUGCACUUUUACAACACAAAUUUCAGAAAAAUCUAUUUAAUUCAUGCAAGAUUAUUACCAGUUUUAGGUUGGGGUGACCGCGGAGCAAAAAAUAACCUCCACAUUGAAAGGAACCUACUCCUUAGCCUAGAGCCACACCUCCACGCACCAUUACAAUGACAUUAAUUGACCCAAUAUUUUGAUCAACGAACCAAGUUACCCUAGGGAUAACAGCGCAAUCCGCUUCAAGAGCUCCUAUCGACAAGUGGGUUUACGACCUCGAUGUUGGAUCAGGGUAUCCCGGUGGUGCAGCCGCUACCAAAGGUUCGUUUG